rnacentral:tRNA from 1 species
ACCUGGCUGGCUCAGUCAGUAGAGCCUGAGACUCUUGAUCUCGGGGUCAUGAGUUCGAGCCCCAUGUUGGGCA